CUGCCCCGGGUCACGUGACUCGGGUGCCGCCCCCUCCUUCUCCUCCCGCCCCUUUUCCCUUCUCUUUCCUCUUCGACGCCCGCCCUCCCUCGCUCGGCAAGGGAAGAGCGGGGCGGCGCCCGCGUGUUACGUGAUGGAACCCGCCCGGCGGGCGCAACAGGAGGCCCGGGCCGGGGGGGAACGCGCGGCCCGCCGCGUCACGUGACGCUCCCUGCCAACAGAUCCUGAAAACACAUCAGUGAACAAAAUACAAAAGUUUUCUGCCUUCUUGAAUGUUACCAGAUACAUGAUCUUCAGAGAUACAGAUCUUAAAUCCUGCUGCACGGCCACUGCUACACUAGAUGACUUACAAAUGAUCAUCCAACAAAAAGAACAAGAAAAGCUGAUACUUACAGAGGUCGAUAUAACUACUAUGAAAAACUCAAUACAUAAUCGCAGCUUAUCAAAUAGCAUUACAGAUCUGGAUUGAUCACGUCCCCAGAAAAAUAAUAGUCUUUCUUCUAGCUUGGGCUGAAGAUUGACCAAAAGAAGGGGGACUGAGAAAUGAAGCAAAAACUGAAAUGAUCUACUGUACCAUUCCAUGAUAUGUAACCAAAACCAUUUAAGCUCUUACUGUUUUUAACACCAUCUUGCUUAGGCUCAUAUGUUACAAUAUAAGACCACAAAUAAAUCGAUUUAACUGCAACUCUGCACAGAUUCAUAGGGUCUAGUGGGUCACUUAGUUUACAAAUUGUAACCAAUCCCUGCCCAGGCUACUAAUAUCCACCACAAAUGCACCCUAUGAUGCAUCUCUUUCCCUACACAUCUCUUUCCCUAACUACCCUGUUUUGAGACAUUACUGACACUCUGUUACUGUGAUGCUUCCCCUUACUUAGCAGCAGCUUUUAACAAUCCAGAAUUUUAUGAACAGUUUUUCUCUUGGUUUUUGAACGGAAUUUGGCAGACUGAAUCAUAUCUCACCUCUCCCUCUCAAAGCUGUCCAUGUCCUAAUUCCCAAAACCUGUGACUUUGUUAUCUUACAUGGUAAAAAUGAUGUAGCAGAUAUGAUUGAAUCAAGGAUGGGAAGACUAUUCUGAAUUAUCCAGGUGGGCCUGAUAUAGUCACAGGGUCCUUAUAGAGGAAAACAGGAGGUCAGCAGGAGAAGGCUAUGUGACAACAGAAACAGAGAUUGGAGUGAUGUGACCACAAGCCAAAGAAUGCCAGUCAUCGCUAGAAGCUGGAAGAAACAAGAAAUGAGUUCUCUCUCAAGCCUCUAUAAGGAACCAGCCCUGUUAACACCUCAGUUUUAGCUCCAUGUGAGUGAUUUAGACCUGUAACCUCCAGAUUUACUUCUAAAAUAAG